rnacentral:misc_RNA from 1 species
UUUCCGUAGGUGAACCUGCGGAAGGAUCAUUAACACAAUAUCCAAAUACCUUGUGUGCACUGUAAUGUGUUUUUACAUUUUACUCGAAUUAACUAGUCCUGCUUGUCAGGAUAACCUAAAUCAAAACAACUGCUAGCAACGGAUGUCUUGGUUCUC